AGAGUUUGAUCCUGGCUCAGGACGAACGCUGGCGGCGUGCUUAACACAUGCAAGUGGUGCGACGAACCAGGGCUUGCCCUGGGGCAAAGCCGCGAACGGGUGAGUAACACGUGGGUAACCUGCCCCGAUGACCGGGACAACCCGAGGAAACUCGGGCUAAUACCGGAUGUGGUGCACAGUCUUAAGUCUGUGUACUAAAG
rnacentral:rRNA from 1 species